GAGGAAGUGUGAUCGGUGAGGUGUGAAGUAGCUACUCCAGGCAACAGAGAUGCUGCUGGAUAUAAAAUUCGAUCCAAGAGGCAGGGUUUUAAGGCAGUCACUGGACUGGAUGUAGAGUAUUGCAUUGCUGUUCCAUUCUGUCCAGGAAGAGCAAAGAUUUUCUCCUCAAAGCACAGAGAAAGCGUGGAAACCAUGGAACAACGGACUCAGAGAUAUAAGGGAACAGGUUUGUUUUCUCAGUCUGAUACCCCCAGGAGGAAAUGGAGAAGCCCCAAAUCCUGGCUGGACCCACUAGAGAACAAAGCCAGUGGCGUAUGUAUGUAUGCACGUAGAAAGAAACGGCUCACCCAGUUGAAGAAGUGGGUCCAUCCAGACUUGUUUGAGUCUGUGGGUCCGGAGGAAAAGGAAGGCCUCCUCUGACUCCUGCAGCUUCAGACCGCGUGGAGAGGAAGCAGGAAGAUGAAGCAGUGAGACCACAGGUUGCUUGCUGGAUUCUGAGUUGAAUGAAUGUGAGAUCCGCCGAAUGAAUCCAAAGUCACACGUUUCUAAUGGCUUCUGGGAUCAGCUGGCG